ensembl:lncRNA
CUCAACCCAGGGAUCAAACCCAGAUCUCUUGCAUUGCAGGUGGAUUCUUUACCAUCAGAGCCACCAGGGAAGCCCCAAACCAUGGCAACAUUAAUUAAUACGCUAGUCCUUCAUUUGUAAGCUUCAUUGCAUAAGAAUGCCUUAAAGAAUAGAGGCUCCCUAAAGAAAACAUCGUCUAGACCAGUGCCUUCAACCAUUUGACCUGAAAACCUUCCCAUUGGCUUGAAAGUUCCACCUACUCCUCUAACUGCUCUGCUCAGGCUCAGACCCAGGCCAAGGGAGGACUAAUGUCUUGUUCCACUAGAUGGUCACGACUUUCCUUAAAAAUUAACUGAUAACAAUGUUGACUCUGUGAGUUUAUUCUGUGCCAGUCACCGACCUAAGAGCUGCAUAUGAUUUAGUUCCUUAAAACCUCCUCCAUGUGCUCUGCAAUAGGUGUUACUAUGAUCCCCACUUCUCGGGGUAAACUGAAGACCAGAAAUAUGAAGACACUUGCUCGAGAUCACAAGGAGCUCAUGAGGGAGGCCACCCUGGUCCGAAAUGGAUCUUACUUUUAACAUCUGCGUGGGCUCUAGCAAGGGAUCUAGCGGAAAAUAUGGUUCAGGGAGUGUGUGAAGCCUGGGUCGAUGCACAGAACGAAGAAAAGGCAUAAAGAGAGGUUUGUACAUGCUUUCCAACCACCACCCGCUCACGCCAGUCCACUCUCCUGGGGAGAGGGGAAAAUUGGGGCAGGUCCUGACAAAAGUUCAAUGGACAGACCAGUAUUUGCUCCUUAACCUCAGCAGUGUAGGAGAGCUUGGUUACUUCAUGUUCUUGCCAACCCCAGAUAUCAUGUGACUUUCAGUUUUAGCAAUUUUCCUGAGUCCAGAGAUGUCUCUUGAGGGUUUUAAUUUACAUUUACGCUAUGUACCUUUUCAUAUGUUUAUUAGCCACUUGGCCAUCGUGUGCGUCUGUGUUUAAGUGCCCAUUCAAGUUUUUCCUUUUCCUCCUUCUCCUUCUGCACACGUUUUUAUUGGUUCUCUUUUAUGAUUGACAUGUAGGAGUUCAGUAUACAUUCUGUUUACAAGUCCUUUGUUGGGUCUAUGUUUGCAAACAUCUUUUCUUAAUCAGUGCUGUGUUUUCAAUUCCUAAUGGUAUCUUUUGAGGAACCAUUCUUAUUUUUGAAGUAGUCCAGUGUGGCAAAUUUUUC